GACGAACGCUGGCGGCGUGCCUAAUACAUGCAAGUAGAACGCACAGGAUGCACCGUAGUUUACUACACCGUAUUCUGUGAGUUGCGAACGGGUGAGUAACGCGUAGGUAACCUGCCUGGUAGCGGGGGAUAACUAUUGGAAACGAUAGCCAAUACCGCAUAAGAACAUUUACUGCAUGGUAGAUGUUUAAAAGGUGCAAAUGCAUCACUACCAGAUGGACCUGCGUUGUAUUAGCUAGUAGGUGAGGUAACGGCUCACCUAGGCGACGAUACAUAGCCGACCUGAGAGGGUGAUCGGCCACACUGGGACUGAGACACGGCCCAGACUCCUACGGGAGGCAGCAGUAGGGAAUCUUCGGCAAUGGGGGCAACCCUGACCGAGCAACGCCGCGUGAGUGAAGAAGGUUUUCGGACCGUAAAGCUCUGUUGUAAGAGAAGAACGGGUGUGAGAGUGGAAAGUUCACACUGUGACGGUAUCUUACCAGAAAGGGACGGCUAACUACGUGCCAGCAGCCGCGGUAAUACGUAGGUCCCGAGCGUUGUCCGGAUUUAUUGGGCGUAAAGCGAGCGCAGGCGGUUAGAUAAGUCUGAAGUUAAAGGCUGUGGCUUAACCAUAGUACGCUUUGGAAACUGUUUAACUUGAGUGCAGAAGGGGAGAGUGGAAUUCCAUGUGUAGCGGUGAAAUGCGUAGAUAUAUGGAGGAACACCGGUGGCGAAAGCGGCUCUCUGGUCUGUAACUGACGCUGAGGCUCGAAAGCGUGGGGAGCGAACAGG
rnacentral:rRNA from 1 species